GCCGCCAUAUUGUCUGUGUGAGGAGAGGGGAGAGCGGCCGCUACUGCUGCCGCUACCACCACAGUUUGAAGAAAACAAGUCUGAAACAAGGUCUUACCCCUAGCUGCCUCUGAACACGGUGACUUGCCAGAUCUCUAAACAUCAAGUCCAGCUUUGUCCGCCAACCUGUCUGACAUGUCGGGAUCCGUGCCAGGCAGGGCCAGAGUUUCCACAGAUGUUUAUACGCACAGACUCCCGAGAAUACUGGGAUUAUGAAUCACAUGUGGUGGAAUGGGGAAGUCAAGAUGACUACCAGCUAGUUCGAAAAUUAGGCCGGAGUAAAUACAGUGAAGUAUUUGAAGCUGUCAACAUCACAAAUAAUGAAAAAGUUGUUGUUAAAAUUCUCAAGCCAGUAAAAAAGAAGAAAGUUAAGCGUGAAAUAAAGAUUUUGGAGAAUUUGAGAGGAGGUCCCAAUAUCAUCACAUUGGCAGACAUUGUAAAAGACCCUGUGUCAUGAACCCCUGCCUUGGUUUUUUAACACAUAAACAACACAGACUUCAAGCAGUUGUACCAGACGUUAACAGACUAUGAUAUUCGAUUUUACAUACCAGACUGAUAUUCGAUUUUACAUGUAUGAGAUUUUGAAGGCCCUAGAUUAUUGUAACAGCAUGGGAAUAAUGCACAGAGAUGUGAAGCCCCAUAAUGUCAUGAUUGAUCAUGAACACAGAAAGCUACCGCUAAUAGAUUGGGGUUUGGCUGAGUUCUAUCAUCCUGGCCAAGAAUAUAAUGUCCCAGUUGCUUCCCGAUACUUUAAAGGUCCUGAGCUACUUGUAGACUAUCAGAUGUAUGAUUACAGUUUGGAUAUGUGGAGCUUGGGUUGUAUGCUGGCAAAUAUGAUCUUUUGGAAGGAGCCAUUUUUCCAUGGACAUGACAAUUAUGAUCAGUUGGUGAGGACAGCCAAGAUUCUGGGGACAGAAGAUUUAUAUGACUAUAUUGACAAAUACAACAUUGAAUUAGAUCCACGUUUCAAUGAUAUCUUAGGCAGACAUUCUCGUAAGUGAUGGGAACGCUUUGUCCACAGUGAAAACCAGCACCUUGUGAGCCCUGAAGCCUUGGAUUUCCUGGACAAGCUGCUGCGAUAUGACUACCAGUCACGGCUUACCACAAGAGAGGCCAUGGAGCAUCCUUAUUUCUACACUGUUGUGAAGGACCAGGCUCAAAUGGGUUCAGCUAGCAUGCCAGGGAGCAGUACGUCUGUCAGCAGCGCCAACAUGAUGUCAGGGAUUUCUUCAGUGCCAACUCCUUCACCUCUUGGACCUGUGGCUCGCCAGUGAUUGCUUCUGCCAACCCCCUUGGGAUGCUUGUUCCAGCUGCUGCUGGUGCCCAACAGUAGUGGCCCCAUCUGUCUCCUGAUGCCUGAGCAGAGGUGGGGGAGUCCACCCUCUCCUUGA